GACGAACGCUGGCGGCGUGCCUAAUACAUGCAAGUUGAGCGCUGAAGGUUGGUACUUGUACCGACUGGAUGAGCAGCGAACGGGUGAGUAACGCGUGGGGAAUCUGCCUUUGAGCGGGGGACAACAUUUGGAAACGAAUGCUAAUACCGCAUAAAAACUUUAAACACAAGUUUUAAGUUUGAAAGAUGCAAUUGCAUCACUCAAAGAUGAUCCCGCGUUGUAUUAGCUAGUUGGUGAGGUAAAGGCUCACCAAGGCGAUGAUACAUAGCCGACCUGAGAGGGUGGUCGGCCACAUUGGGAAUGAGACACGGCCCAAACUCCUACGGGAGGCAGCAGUAGGGAAUCUUCGGCAAUGGACGAAAGUCUGACCGAGCAACGCCGCGGGAGUGAAGAAGGUUUUCGGAUCGUAAAACUCUGUUGGUAGAGAAGAACGUUGGUGAGAGUGGAAAGCUCAUCAAGUGACGGUAACUACACAGAAAGGGACGGCUAACUACGUG
rnacentral:rRNA from 1 species